UCAUCGCUGACGACGUCGGCCUCGGCAAGACCGUUGAGGCGGGGCUCGUCUUGCGCGAGAUGCUGCUUCGCCGGCGGGUCGAUUUCGUCGUCGUCUCCGCACCGGCAGCCAUGAUCACCCAGUGGCAGGACGAGCUGGCGCAGAAAUUCGGCCUCGGCUUUACCAUCGUGGACCGAGAGUAUCUGGCCGCGGUGCGCCGCGCGCACGGCUUCGCUGCCAACCCGUGGGCGGUCGGAUCGCGUUUCAUCGUCUCGCACAGUCUGUUGGCCGACGAGACCUAUUCGGACGGAUUGAAGGAGGCCCUCGGCCCGUUCCGCCCGCGUUCCCUAUUCAUCCUCGAUGAAGCGCACCAUGCCGCGCCGGCGAGCGGGCAGGCCUAUGCGGUGGACAGCCAGUUCACGAGAGCCGUGCGCAGUCGGGCGGAGCGGUUCGAGCAUCGGCUCUUUCUCUCCGCGACGCCGCACAAUGGACACUCGAACAGCUUCUCCGCGCUGCUCGAAAUCCUGGAUCCGCAACGAUUCACCCGGGGCGUCCCCGUUGAAGAGGGCGACACCGAUCCGGUCAUGGUGCGGCGCCUCAAGAGCGAUCUGCGCAAGCUCGGCGUCG
rnacentral:misc_RNA from 1 species